GGUGUGUGAGUCAGGGUCCUGGCAGCAAACACACUCAGGUGGAUUUGGGAAAGAGUUGGAUGAAGAGACUAUUUACAGAGGUGGAAGAAAAAUCUGAUGCAGCAGAUUCCCUCUGGAUAGAACCACUCAGGAGAGAAGGAACCAUGAUGAGUGCGAGAGAAUAAUCACUGUUGAACUCUGGCCAAGGCACCAAGCUGAACUUUGCAUCACGACACUUCCCAUCUUUAAGCAGCCCUGUGAGAUGAGAAAACUGAGGCCUGGAGAUGGGAAGGGACCUCCGAGGCACAUCAGCAGUUUUGCAGGUGAGGAGGCUGAGGCUCAAAGAGGUUAAAUUCAUCGCUCACAUCACCAAAUAGGAAAAUGGUGACACUGGCCUGCCAACCAGCCAGGAAGCCUCUUGGGACCCUUCAGCACUCUUCCUUGGCUACCACCAUUCAGAUGCAGCUUUCAGGGCCUCGGCGUCCUUCACUCCCUGCAGGAUGGCCUCAGGCCCCCGAAUUCCCGACUCAGGUGUGCUCUCAGGCCAACCACAGGCUCUGCCUGUAAGGGUUAGCUUUCUUCAAUUAUUAUUAUUAUUUUUUGAAAAUUUCUCCCUUGCUAAAAUAUAAUUUUUAACAUGGUGAAAAAAUCACUCAUCUUGUACGAAUAUGACAUAAAUGAGUGUAAAAGAUUUUAUUUAAACUUAUUAAUUAAUGAGGGGACUGAUAAGAGAUUACAUGAGAAUUUAACUUACAGAGAUUUAUAUUCUCCCUCAAGCAAAAUCCGCUUGGGUUGCUCUGACUUAUUUGCACUGACCUGGACGAGAAAUAUUUGCAUUACCAUUAGUUUUCUACAAGUGAAGUUUUAUCCCCGACAGGGUUAUAAGACAGCUUAGUCAAUCAAAAACAAUCAAAGGUAUACAGAAUUUGAUAACCCGUGGACCACUAGACAAUGGUCAGAAUUCUACUGAAAGAACACCUAGUAAUUUCUCUUGCCCAUUUCCUGUCUUUGACAAAAUUUCCUAAUAUUCGUAUUUUGUAUUUAUUUUUCCUCUUAUGACUGUGCUUGUGGCAUAUGGAAAUUCUUGGGUCACGGAUUGAAUCUGAGCUGCAGCUAUGACCUAUGCUUCAGUUGUGGAAUUGCCAGAUCCUUUAACCUACUGCACUGGGCCAGGGAUCAAAACUGUGCCUCUGCAUCGACCUGAACUGCUGCAGUCAGAUUCUUAACCUACUGUGCCAUGGCAGAAACUCCUCCUUAUACUCUUUUAAUGUGAGCAGCACAAAAGGAUUUUUGUCUAUGAGAUAUAUAGAACUCCUAUAAGUUAUUAGGAAAGAGACAACUGACCCAAAAGAAAAAUGGGCAAAGGAUGUUAAACAUGCAAUUUCCAAAAUAUCCAAUAAAAAUGAAAAGAUGCUUGACCUAUUUUGUAAUCAAAGAAAUGGAAAUUAAAAGUGCGAUGAGAUAUUGUUUCAUACCCACCAGGUAAAAUUGGUAAAAAUUAAAAAGUCAAGCAUCAGCAAGAAUGUGGAGUCCCAGGAAUUUUCAUAUAUUGAUGGUAAAAGUUUGAAUUGGUAAAAUCACUUUGGAAAGAAAUUUGGCAAAAGCUAGUUAAGUUGAAGAUGUGUAUAUCCCAUGGCAAGAGUAUGUGUAUACUCUUAGGAAGGAGAAAUUCCUAUACAUAUGCAUUAGAUAAACAUGCACAAAAGUGGUCAUGGCCAUAGAAACAACUCAGAUGUCCUUUGACAGACGAUUGGAUUAGGAAGAUGUGGUAUAUAUACACAAUGGAAUAGUACUCAGCCAUAAAAAAGAACAAAAUAAUGGCAUUUGCAGCAACAUGGAUGGAACUAGAGACUCUCAUCCUGAGUGAAGUAAGUCAGGAAGAGAAAGACAAAUACCAUAUGAUAUCACUUAUAUCUGGAAUCUAAUAUAUGGCACAAAUGAACCUUUCCACAGAAAAGAAACUCAUGGACUUGGAGAAUAGACUUGUGGUUGCCAAGGGGGAACGGGAGGGAUUGGGAUGGAUGGGGUGCUUGGGGUUAAUAGAUGCAGACUAUUGCCUUUGGAAUGGAUNUAUAACUGGGUCACCAUGCUGUACAGUAUAAAAAAAAUUGUAUUGGGGAAAUAACUAUUAAAAAAUAAUAAAAGUGGUCAUGGUGUCUAGUAACAGCAAAUCAUUAGAAAUAACCUGAAUGCCUGUCAUCAGGAGAAUGGAGAAAAUAAGUGGUGGCAUAUUUCUGUAUUCAUACAAUGUAAUACUCUACAGCAUUAAAACAAAUGAGGUUGACCUAUAUACAGCAAUAUGGAUAAAUUUCAAAAACUGUGUUGAGUGAAAGAAGCAAGUUGUAGAAGAAUCACAGUAUGGCUGCUUGACAAAGACUAUGUGAUGAAAAUGGAAAAGUCUGAAAGGGAGUGACAUAUACAAACUUCAGGGCAGUGGUUUCCUCUGGGAUGCAGGGAAGAGAAUGAGAUUAGGAAGGGUGACAUCAACUGUAUCUGAAAUGCUUUAAUUGUUAAUACAAGUGAGGGGUAUGAAGAUAUUUGUUAUACUAUUUUUUUUGAUGCUUUUUACAUGCUGGAAUAAUAACAACAACAAUGCCUUGCAUUUCAUUUCCCUGUGGUUUAAAGAUAGAGGAAAUAAAGCUUUUCUCCUC
rnacentral:lncRNA from 1 species